CAAGGAUAAACAUUGGUGUGGCCUUUCCCACAUGGAAAUCGCUGAUGAGGGACAAAUGUUUUCAGAGUGACGCCGAAGUUGCCUCUUUUCUGUUGAAUAGAUUUGAUGGAAGUGGUACUCCAACAUGGCCAGGAACACAGAGGGGCCGUGAUGCUGAACCCUUACGAGACUUUAAGCACGACCAUGUUUCACCCAUUUUAUCAAGCUGGUAGACAGACCGUGGUCUAUUUUCCGGUGCUCUUGCAGCCAUGUUGGUGCGUACGAGGUGGUCGUGAAGUUGGAGUGCCUGCUACAGCUGUUCCAGAAGUGCUUUGAGUGCUGCAGUGGGUGCAGCAUCAGUACGGAGCGCGAGGGCUGCUUCUUCUACGUCACGCAGAAGUGUCUGAAAUGUCGCUACAGCAGGGAGUGGACAAGCCACCCACCUGACCAGAUCAUCAGAGACCCAGCAGACAACCAGGAGGUCAAAACAGAGGUCCUGCCAUCAUCUUCAUCAUCAUCAUCGGAGGAGGAGGAGGCGAGGGAGGAGGAGGAGACACACAAAACCUCAAACCUGAGCUCCCAGUUGGCU
ensembl:lncRNA